CACUCCUUCGUUGGAUUGAAGGCCGUUAAUAACUGUUUUAAAUAACGGUUAUCAUGUUAUCCACGCCACGCGAGCAUAGCAACGCCAAUAAUCAAUUGUUUUGAUACAUGCCAAAUUUCUUAAACUAUCCAUAAGUUUUAAUGAAAUUUACUGACCGCUACUGUUUGAGUAUUGUCUUAAAUAUCCUUAUGCUCCUAUUUCUGAUAAUUGAUUAGCUCUACCGUUUUCGUUAUCAUCCGUUAGUAUUUUGCCAAAUUCCAUACACACGUGACGUUUAAUUUUUUUUUUAAGCCCAAUUUUACCUUUUAUUCUCUUUUUCUCACUCUCCUUCUCUCCCUUCUUUCAUCACCACCACUGCAACGAUUUGCAACAGCGGUCCCCUCCACCUCCGGCCACUCUCUCUCUCCCUUUCUUCCCCUUCGUUCUCUCUCCCCUCCUCUAUUUCACAUUGCACCAGAACCAGAAUUAAUGAGGAAGAUGGAGACCCAUCAUUGAACGAACCCACCUGAGUAUCGUAUAAAUUUUUUUUGAACCGGGUAGCAUUGUGAGGAGGAGGAUUGGUGAGGGUGGUUGUUGGUGUUGCGAGGGUGCCCGAGUAGCGUAAGGGGAUUCAUCUGCAACUCCUGGCGAUACACUCCCAGAUCUGUUUCGAUCGGAGGGAAGGGGAUUCAUUUGCAUCUCCCAAAUUUGGGUGAUAUAUUCCCAGAUCUGCUUCGAGCGAAGGGAAGGGGAUUCAUGUACAACUCCCAGAUCUGCUUUAAGCGGAGGGAAGGGAAUUCAUCUGCAACUCCCAGAUCUACUUCAAGCGGAGGGAAGAGGACAGAGAGAAGGGGAUUCAUCUAUGGGAAGGUGAUUUCCAAACCUGAAGAGUAGAGAGAUGAUGAAGUCCAUGAAAGGGGAGGUGGCAACCAAGUACUUUCUGGAACCCGUUCUAGAACCCGUUUCCGCCUCAGAUCCUUGCUUGUAGGCAUGCCGAGACAUCUUCACGGCAUGUAUAGUUGUAUACCAGAAGGCCCAAAGUCAAUCUCCUUUCGGUAUUUCGGGAGCGGGCAUCCUCCUCUAGUAGGUUCCAUGCUUAUCUAGCACUGGAUUUGAUAACUAGUCUUUAAUAUCAUCCUCUUCCUCUGACCUAUGCUAGAUGUUGGAAGUUCGUUUGCCGACAACCUCUGUAUUCCUAGUUCAGAGAGCUAGAAGGCAUCGACUUGGUGUAGACGGCAUCGACUAGACCACAAUGAAGAAGUCAUAAUUUAUCAAAGAAUUGUCAAGGUACUUGUUGACAUUUUCUGGAAUGGGUUCUAGUUUGUGGUCUAACCAGGGGUGAUGAGUACGGUUUCGGUGGUGCAGACGGCAUCGACUUCGACGACCAUGAAUUCAUAAGAGAUGGAGACCUUGGUGCCGCCGGUGCUUCAUAUUAGUAGUAUGGGUUUUAUUUUGAAAUUUGAGAAACAACGGAAGCUCAGCUGAUAAAGUGAAGGACUGUGAAUGGGUUUGUCGCUACUUUGAAUCUGCUUGUUCUGGGUUUUGUUUCUUGUACUAGCACUAGUGCCCGAUGAUGACCUUCUUGCUAACAGAUGUCAUUGGCUACGCUUAUUGUAGAGUUGUUGUUGGUUUCGGGUAUUUUAUUUAAUUGUUUGUUGCUGAUUUGAUUUGUGGUUUUGGGUAGCCAAUGGAUGCGUUAGGUUGGUUUUGUGUUGGAGAUGGAAGUUGAAGACUAACCAAUCCAUCCAUGUCAAAUUGUCAAUUAUGUGACUGGUGGUGGAAUGGUUUGUGAAGUAUAUUUAUAAACAAAAAUGUGUUCAAUUCUACAAGCCAUUCUUUUUUGCGAAGGUUCAAGGGUGGAAGACUUCAAUUAUAAAAUCAUUUUAGGGUGGUUGUAAUGGAAGGGAAUAUUGUAUUCCUUCAUAGGACAACACCAACACAUUUUCAUUUUGAUUUCUUUAAUCUUGUCUUAUUUGAAUAUAAAGCAUUUAUUUUCUAUCUCCUUGACAAAACCAAUUCCAAGUAUUUAUUUUGAAUAUAAAGCAUCUUCAAGAGAUCAUUAUCCUGUCAUUAGCCCUUGCAAAGCAGGGCCCCCCCGUUAGUAUUUGAUUUAUUUGGAAAAGCAGUAAUAAGAUGGGGAAAAUUUUAGUAAUAUAUAAGCGGAGGUACUAUGGUAUUUGUUAUUUGAUGAUAAUAUUACAUUAAUUGAUAAAAUUAAUAAAUGAUCAAAUGCAAAAUUAAAUUUAUGUUUUAUUUGUUUUCAUUGUAAUUUCAUUUGCACUUGUACAUAUCUAUGGGGGUGCAAAUGAGAAAAUUGCAAAUUUUAAUUCAUUUUCAUGCUGAAUUUUAUUUUAUUUUGCUUCAGGUUUUAUUUCACUUUUCCAGCAUCAAAGAUAAACAAAAUAAAGUAAAACCUAUAAUAAAAUUCAACUAAAAUUUGGACUCAACUCAUUUGCAUUACUUUACUUCUGCAUUAAUGCAAAUGAAAUUAUAUUGUAACCAAACAUAGCCUUAUGGACAAAUACGUUAAGCUUCAUUUUGUAUUUGCACUCUUCUCAAAUGGAGCAUUUUAAAACAAGUAGGGCUACAACAAAAUAUAUGCCAUAUAUGUAAUUUUGAUAAUAAUAAAAAUGCAAACCAUGGAACAUUUAAUUGAGGAAUAAGAGAUAAUUCAAUAUGAGCCUAUUUGUUAUCUUGGUUCCAUAUUCAUAAUAAGGGAGAGAUUGAUGCUAGCCAUAGAAUUAGAGUAGGAUGGGGAAAAUGGAAGGGCAUAUCAUAAGUUGGGUAGUCAAAAAAUAGUUGGAUAUAAAAUAAUUCUAAGGUCAUCAAUGCUUUAUGGCAUAGAGAGUUGGGUAGUCAAAAGUAAGGCAUCCAAAAAAAUGAGUGGCAAAAAUGCAUACGUUGAGAUGUAUUAAGUGUAUAAUGUGUAGUAUUUUACCUUUAAACAAUAUACUUCAACAUCAAUAAUUUAAUGUGUACUAUUUCAAUAAGGGUAUUACUUGUUUGUGUUAGGGCUGUGCCUUAUUUUUUAAUCGUUGGAUUAUUUUUAAUCAAAUAAUUAGUGUGGUUCUUAUUUAGGUUAAGGAGGGUUUUAUAUGUAAAAUAUUUCCUUUGUAUGUAGGGUUUAGAUAAGUGAGAAAGAAUUUCUCUUUUUCUUGUUGGAGAAAAAAAAGUAGGGGGAAAAGAGGGUGCUCUUGUUAUAUGAGUGGGGUUUUUCUCUUCCCUCCCCUCUCUCUCAUUCUUAUUUGUUUUGUUGACUUCUGGGAUGCACUACCCCCCCGUUGUGUGUAGUGCAACAUGAUUUAUUUCAAUAAAAAAAGAGUGUGUGUGUGGGGGGGGUUCUCUUGUUUUUGUUCUUCGGAUUGAGAGAGGAAAGAGAGAACGAGUGUACAAGGGUUAAGGGUUGCUUUGUGUUGCAAGCUACAAGGUACUUGCAUUGUUUCUUAUUUUCUUUUAUAGUGAUGAAUAGUUUUCAUCUUCCUCGUGGACAUAGGCGGUAAGGCCAAACCAUGCAAGUCCUUUAUGUUUUUGGUGGUGUUUGUUUUUAUUUGUAUUUGCUUGGAUUUUGUUGCUUUUGUUGCUAUUGGAUUUUCUUGGUUGCUAUUUCAUUUCAAAUAUUUUGUGGUUUUAUCUUGUAAAUGGUUAUUGUAAGGCCCCGACAAAGUGGUAUCAAAGCUCCCAAGUUGAUGUUUACAAGGUGUUUAUGAAAUUGUUUAAGAGAUAAUGGCAAUAAAAGGUACAAGUUUUAAAUUCUAGAUUAAAAAGUUUGAUGCUAAAGGCAACUUUACCUUAUGGCAAAGGUGGGUGAAGGACAUCCCAAUUCAACAAUGCUUGGCUAGAGCGUUGAAAGGAAAAAAAUGGGAAGCCAAAAGACAUGAAGGAUGCUGAUUAGGAGGACAUUGAGUCAAGAUCGCUGGAUUCCUUCAGCUCUUUGAUCGUCAUCAGGUACUCACCGGGAAACGCCUAUCCACCAAAUGCCUCCCUCCCUCCCAGGCAGUCGAUUCUACAAUGUAGUCGGCAACAACAAAAACAACUUUAUGUGCGGUCACCUCCAGAAAAUGUGAAGCAUUCCAUGUCGGAAAUCUGUUCUCCAGUGUUGGAAAUUUCAACUCCGGUGUAAACGCCUCUUCCUCUUCAAGUGUUCAAUUUCAAGGAAGGUUUUCAAUUUCAAAGAAGCACCGAGGCUUUCUCUGGCAGAGCUACUGUUGAUGGAAAGGGAAACCUGUACCCAAGGGAGAUCCGAAUGAAUGCAGCAAUUUUAGUUGCGACUCAAUGCAGCGUAAACUCUAGAAAAGCGGCGUCUGCCGAUGAUAAUGAUAAGCAACACCGUUUGCCCAGCGUCAUCGCAUGGCUUAUGGGCCUCGAGGUGCUGCUAGACUCCAACCGUGAACCUCUCAAGAAAGUUGGAACAGCCUGAGCUCUACUUUAGAGUGAAGGUGUCAAGAGAUCUGCUUCAGUAUCGUUUUGUAGACGGAAACAACUUCCAGAUGAAGCAGCCUUGCCAAACGAAUUUCGGAAGCAACGUCAUAAGCAAUGCGACAAGAGAUAAUGAUGCUCGGCAAGAUAAUAAAUCAAACGUUAGGACACCGGAUUUAAUGGACUUCUGCGUCAGAAAACCGAAACACGAGCAAUCGGAAUCUCCAAGCGGAUGCCAAUCCGCGUCCACAUGGAAAGCGCCCUAGCAACAAGAUUUCUUCUGGAGCCAAAGCAGGCGGGCUCUCUAUAUGGAGAGAUCGAUAAACAGUUGAAGAUGUAGGGAAUCGAUGAACCAGCCUGGAGACGCUGAAACAUAUUUUCGAAGCUCUACAACUCCAAGGUACUACAUUCUAAGAAAUCGGCAGAGCAACAGAUUGUGCCUAGAACGUUAAUGGUACUCUUAUUUUGUAUUUUCUCGUAAAACUUUAGAUGGGUUCUGCUUUUCUCCAAUUUCAAAUUGAUGAAGGGGGUAUGUUGCAGAAAAGGCGAAUUAGAGAAGUUGUCUUCUUCUAAACUGUUAUUUUCUUGCAGUAUGAGAGAGAGAGUUGAAGGAAAAGAAAUGACGAAAGUUGUCUUGGAUCUUCCUUUUUGAAAUCUGAGAAUUGGGAUGGAGUUUCCAUUGAUGUAACAUCGAAAAAAGCAGUCCAGAAGCGACGAAUUGAUCCAGAGAAAGUGUUACCGAGUGUCUCGAUUUCUUCUGUGAUUGGACUUCUGAUUUUUCUUCACACAUCUAAUAGUCUCCUCUAUGGAAAAUGGUAGAAUGGUCUAAAUAUUAUCAUAAAGGUUAGUUUUGGUA